rnacentral:rRNA from 1 species
AGUGAACGCUGGCGGUAGGCCUAACACAUGCAAGUCGAACGGCAGCACAGUAAGAGCUUGCUCUUACGGGUGGCGAGUGGCGGACGGGUGAGGAAUACAUCGGAAUCUACUUUUUCGUGGGGGAUAACGUAGGGAAACUUACGCUAAUACCGCAUACGACCUACGGGUGAAAGCAGGGGAUCUUCGCACCUUGCGCGAUUGAAUGAGCCGAUGUCGGAUUAGCUAGUUGGCGGGGUAAAGGCCCACCAAGGCGACGAUCCGUAGCUGGUCUGAGAGGAUGAUCAGCCACACUGGAACUGAGACACGGUCCAGACUCCUACGGGAGGCAGCAGUGGGGAAUAUUGGACAAUGGGCGCAAGCCUGAUCCAGCCAUACCGCGUGGGUGAAGAAGGCCUUCGGGUUGUAAAGCCCUCUUGUUGGGAAAGAAAAGCAGCAGGUUAAUACCCCGCUGUUCUGACGGUACCCAAAGAAUAAGCACCGGCUAACUUCGUG